GACGAACGCUGGCGGCGUGCUUAACACAUGCAAGUCGAGCGGAAAGGCCCUUUCGGGGGUACUCGAGCGGCGAACGGGUGAGUAACACGUGAGUAAUCUGCCCCUGGCUUUGGGAUAGCCACCGGAAACGGUGAUUAACACCGGAUACGACCACUUCUCGCAUGGGAUGGUGGUGGAAAGUUUUUCGGCCAGGGAUGUGCUCGCGGCCUAUCAGCUUGAUGGUGAGGUAAUGGCUCACCAUGGCUUCGACGGGUAGCCGGCCUGAGAGGGUGACCGGUCACACUGGGACUGAGACACGGCCCUGACUCCUACGGGAGGCAGCAGUGGGGAAUAUUGGACAAUGGGCGGAAGCCUGAUCCAGCAAUGCCGCGUGAGGGAUGACGGCCUUCGGGUUGUAAACCUCUUUCAGCAGGGACGAAGCGCAAGUGACGGUACCUGCAGAAGAAGCACCGGCCAACUACGUGCCAGCAGCCGCAGUAA
rnacentral:rRNA from 1 species